rnacentral:rRNA from 1 species
UUGACCUCAAAUCAGGUAGGACUACCCGCUGAACUUAAGCAUAUCAAUAAGCGGAGGAAAAGAAACUAACAAGGAUUCCCCUAGUAACUGCGAGUGAAGCGGGAAAAGCUCAAAUUUAAAAUCUGGCGGUCCCUGUGGUCGUCCGAGUUGUAAUUUAGAGAAGUGUUAUCCGCGCUGGACCGUACACAAGUCUCCUGGAAUGGAGCGUCAUAGAGGGUGAGAAUCCCGUCUUUGGUACGGACUGCCAGGGCAUUGUGAUGCGCUCUCAAAGAGUCGAGUUGUUUGGGAAUGCAGCUCAAAAUGGGUGGUAAAUUCCAUCUAAAGCUAAAUAUUGAGGAGAGACCGAUAGCGAACAAGUACCGUGAGGGAAAGAUGAAAAGAACUUUGGAAAGAGAGUUAAACAGUACGUGAAAUUGCUGAAAGGGAAACGCUUGAAGUCAGUCGCGUCGUCCAGGACUCAGCCUUGCUUUUGCUUGGUGUACUUCUUGUUCGACGGGUCAACAUCAGUUUUGGUCGGUGGAUAAAGGCUUGGAGAAUGUGGCAUCCUCGGAUGUGUUUAUAGCUCUAGGUCGCAUACAUCGGCUGGGAUUGAGGAACUCAGCACGCCGCAAGGCCGGGUACUUGUACCACGUACGGCUUAGGAGUGCAUA